rnacentral:lncRNA from 1 species
CUACAUCUACCAAGCACGCUUAGAUAUCAAGUAAUUAAAUAGGCUCAAGAGAUUACAAACUAUAUAUUGAAAUCUUCAACAAUUUGAGACUUUCUCUUAGUGAUUGUUGCAACCUUUUUAUAACCUCUCCAAGUGAACACUUCACGUAAACUACAUAUCUUUUAUUUCCUCUCAUGAGCGAAACCUCUUAGCCAACAAUAUGUCGCCUCACUGUAAAAUUGUGAACACAUGAUCCCUUAUCCUGAAAAGUCUAGAGACAAAGUCUCCCAAAUCAAAAAAUGAUCCCAAGGUUGUAGCUUUUGAUGUGGAAUUCCUCUACUGCUCCAACGACCUUCAUUCCCUCAAAGACUAAAUCAACAAAUCACCAAAUAAUCAAAAUCACUAAAGAAACAUAAAGUCUGAACACAAAUACAACCUCUUCUCACAUCAAAAUCUGAUGGAUGGACUCUAAAGAGAAGACAAGAAGGCAAUGAUAUCACUCCUAAAGGGUUAAUAAUUAAAGAUGCUAGCUCUCAAAUACUCUCUCUUUUGCACACUAGCUUCCACCAAAACAUGUAAGUGACUCUCCUGUAUAUAAAGUUAGGUGAAUCACGUGAUAUGAAGAGUCUAAUCUUGUCAGAUUUUCAUCC